UGGUGAAGAGGUAUUGGCAGGAUCCUGCUGGUAUCAUUUUCGUGACAAAUUUGGUGCGAGAAAGGCUGAAGAGACCAACUGCAAGGAACAAGGCCUCUCUCCCCGAGAUGCAAGUUAUCUUCACUGCGGUACCUUGCUAUAGGAAAGAUGCGGCAGUGCAGCACUGAUGACUUGGGGCUCUCACAACAGACCAUCAGCAGGAUCGUCAGUGAUACAGUGAUACAAUGCCAUCCUCUCUUAAUUCAUAAGAUUUAUAGUCACCCAACUGGAAACUCAGUGGAGGAAGGAGGAGUUUCUGCAGAUUGCUGGCUUCCCUGAAGUGAUCGGUAGCAUUGAUGGUACGCACGUAAUGAUUGUGGCUCCUAGAGAGUAUAAGGUAGAGUUUGUCAACAGGAAGAGAUACUACAGCAUCAACGUGCAGUUUGUGUUUGAUGCUUGAUACCACAUUAUUGAUGUGGUUGCAAAGUGGCCGGGAUCGGUUCACGAUGUAAGAAUACUUGUUCAAAGUGGACUCUGCACGAUAUUUGACAACAGCAUCGUCCCAGCUGGGUGUCACUUACAGGGAGAUAGUGACUAUCCCAGCAAGAAGUGGCUACUGACUCCAUACCUCAGACCACAGCCUGGAGCACAGUCUUCUUAUAACAGGGCCCACAAGAAAACCCACAGCUUUGUUGAGAGGCAUCGGGCAGCUGAAGCGACAUUUUCACAUGCUACACAGUGAGAUCCGAGUUGGUCCUCCAUCCAAGGUUUGCCAAAUUGUAGAGGUUUGUGCACUGCUGCACAACAUCUGCAAAGCAAGAAACAUCAUUCUUCCUGAGGAAGCAGAACAUCUUGUUGCAGCCGAGGAUGGAGGCAACGAGGAGCGACUCCUAGCACAGAAAGUUCAAAGUCGCCAUGAAGUAAUCCUUUACAGGGAUGAAUUUGUUGUGCUUCACUUCAACAUUGAUGAGUGAUGAGACACCAGUGUCAUGACUGCUGAGAUUGGUGUUAUUCUCAUGUGGAUGAUCUCCUCAUCCACAAACACCAGUGAUGUACCAGGCAAGUCUGGCCCUUUUGGUGCUGGAAGUGGUGUGGCAGGUGCCUCCUCCUCAACACCCACUGCCUCGGUCACCACUUCUCUCUGUUGGGCUGCCUCUGCCACUUCCCCAGCAUCAUCUGCUGCCUGCACACUGCUGGCAUCAUUAGUUCUAACUUCAGAAACUAAGCUGAUAAUGUUUUUGGUUUUAUUGCUAAGGACAAAAGUAACAGAAACCAGUAAAUCUAGCUAAGGGUA
rnacentral:lncRNA from 1 species